rnacentral:rRNA from 1 species
GACGAACGCUGGCGGCGUGCUUAACACAUGCAAGUCGAACGGAAAGGCCCUGCUUUUGUGGGGUGCUCGAGUGGCGAACGGGUGAGUAACACGUGAGUAACCUGCCCUUGACUUUGGGAUAACUUCAGGAAACUGGGGCUAAUACCGGAUAGGAUCUCCUGCUGCAUGGUGGGGGUUGGAAAGUUUCGGCGGUUGGGGAUGGACUCGCGGCUUAUCAGCUUGUUGGUGGGGUAGUGGCUUACCAAGGCUUUGACGGGUAGCCGGCCUGAGAGGGUGACCGGCGACAUUGGGACUGAGAGACGGCCCAGACUCCUACGGGAGGCAGCAGUGGGGAAUAUUGCACAAUGGGCGGAAGCCUGAUGCAGAAACGCCGCGUGCGGGAUGACGGCCUUCGGGUUGUGAACCGCUUUCGCCUGUGACGAAGCGUGAGUGACGGUAAUGGGUAAAGAAGCACCGGCUAACUACGUG